rnacentral:rRNA from 1 species
GCUAGUAAUGGCAGGUCAGCAUACUGCCGUGAAUACGUUCCCGGGCCUUGUACACACCGCCCGUCACACCAUGAGAGUUGGGAAUACCCGAAGCCUGUGAGCUAACUGUAAGGAGGCAGCAGUCGAAGGUAGAAUCAAUGAUUGGGGUGAAGUCGUAACAAGGUACC